UACGUAGGGUGCAAGCGUUAUCCGGAAUUAUUGGGCGUAAAGAGCUCGUAGGCGGUUUGUCGCGUCUGCUGUGAAAACUGGAGGCUCAACCUCCAGCCUGCAGUGGGUACGGGCAAACUAGAGUGCGGUAGGGGAGAUUGGAAUUCCUGGUGUAGCCGGUGGAAUGCGCAGAUAUCAGGAGGAACACCGAGUGGCGAAGGCAGAUCUCUGGGCCGUAACUGACGCUGAGGAGCGAAAG
rnacentral:rRNA from 1 species